rnacentral:lncRNA from 1 species
GUAAGUAGGUGAGGCUUGAUCAUGGUGAGAUUUCCUGUAGGGUGAGCUGCCUGGGCCUUUGGUUGGGGAAGCCCUGAUGUCAACAUCCAUUGAGACAUAAAGACCCGCGGAGCAUGUGCUCGGGAUGGAGGCUGACGCCGGCCACCUGUGGGCACAGACCAAGGGGCAGAGAUGCAGAAAGCUGCACAUCUAUCCACCACCAUGGCUUAGGGCCACCUGCUCACGGAGAUUUCAGAGACAGCCUCCACUUUAGCCUUCACACAAGACAUCUCCUUCUGGCUCAACUGCAGCCAGGCUCUUUGAAGGCCAACUUGGGAAAGAACUACAAACGUCAUUUUUCAGAAGAGAAUUCUUGCCUGCUCACUGGGGAAGUUAUUUUCAGUUGUCUUUUGUUGUCUGUUUUCAAAAGGAAAAUAAAAAAAAGAAAAGGCAGUAUAAUCUUUCACACUGGAACCAGCCUGCAGCCAGCCAGAGGCCACUGGGAAAGGGCCUCUUAGUGAUGCACACUGGAUGCAUCCAUCACCUGGAAUUUCACAGAUCACAAGCCCCCUACCAACCUAUCAUACAACUGCCGAUCAGCUCUCAUCCUCCCACAGGAUUAGCUCAAUGCUGGCUCUGCAGACACUGGGAGCCACAGGCGACAAAGCCUAGGCCUCUGCAGGCUUCCUUCUUCACCCAGGUCUAAGAUGGGUUGCCUCUCCGGGACUGAGACACAGUGACGUUCUCUUAAACUAAACUCAGAGCACAAAUCCACUUCGUCACCAAGAAUCAUCUCAGGGCACAGUCCCAGCCUCCUUCCUUGGGGGCCUUUAAAACACAUCUCUCUGACCCAAACAGGUAGGUGAGAUAGGACUUUAAAGGGAGAAUAAAGGGGAUAGGGAUGGGGUAUGAGGAACGAGAAACAGAACCAACUUCUCAGCCCUCCACAACAUUGUGCCUUUGUAGGGCGAGAGGCAUCCACACCCCAAACUGUACCUGGAGAUGGAGGAAAAUGCAGGAGAGGAGAAAGAAAAAAAAAAAAAGGAAUCAAGUGGCUGUACCACUUUCUCUGAAAGUCAUUUAAUGCUUCUCUCGUGGUUCUCCCCUACCCUGGUUGCUUUGCCAAGUUCUUGGGUGCUGGCAGAGCCUGAUCUAGCUGCGGGAGCUGCUGCUCUGGGAGUUGGGAGAGUACUGCUCAUUGAUGAUGUUUAGCAGCAGGCAUGCAGGUAGCUGUGGC